GACGAACGCUGGCGGCGUGCCUAAUACAUGCAAGUUGAGCGCUGAAGGUUGGUACUUGUACCAACUGGAUGAGCAGCGAACGGGUGAGUAACGCGUGGGGAAUCUGCCUUUGAGCGGGGGACAACAUUUGGAAACGAAUGCUAAUACCGCAUAAAAACUUUAAACACAAGUUUUAAGUUUGAAAGAUGCAAUUGCAUCACUCAAAGAUGAUCCCGCGUUGUAUUAGCUAGUUGGUGAGGUAAAGGCUCACCAAGGCGAUGAUACAUAGCCGACCUGAGAGGGUGAUCGGCCACAUUGGGACUGAGACACGGCCCAAACUCCUACGGGAGGCAGCAGUAGGGAAUCUUCGGCAAUGGACGAAAGUCUGACCGAGCAACGCCGCGUGAGUGAAGAAGGUUUUCGGAUCGUAAAACUCUGUUGGUAGAGAAGAACGUUGGUGAGAGUGGAAAGCUCAUCAAGUGACGGUAACUACCCAGAAAGGGACGGCUAACUACGUGCCAGCAGCCGCGGUAAUACGUAGGUCCCGAGCGUUGUCCGGAUUUAUUGGGCGUAAAGCGAGCGCAGGUGGUUUAUUAAGUCUGGUGUAAAAGGCAGUGGCUCAACCAUUGUAUGCAUUGGAAACUGGUAGACUUGAGUGCAGGAGAGGAGAGUGGAAUUCCAUGUGUAGCGGUGAAAUGCGUAGAUAUAUGGAGGAACACCGGUGGCGAAAGCGGCUCUCUGGCCUGUAACUGACACUGAGGCUCGAAAGCGUGGGGAGCAAACAGGAUUAGAUACCCUGGUAGUCCACGCCGUAAACGAUGAGUGCUAGAUGUAGGGAGCUAUAAGUUCUCUGUAUCGCAGCUAACGCAAUAAGCACUCCGCCUGGGGAGUACGACCGCAAGGUUGAAACUCAAAGGAAUUGACGGGGGCCCGCACAAGCGGUGGAGCAUGUGGUUUAACUCGAAGCAACGCGAAGAACCUUACCAGGUCUUGACAUACUCGUGCUAUUCCUAGAGAUAGGAAGUUCCUUCGGGACACGGGAUACAGGUGGUGCAUGGUUGUCGUCAGCUCGUGUCGUGAGAUGUUGGGUUAAGUCCCGCAACGAGCGCAACCCCUAUUGUUAGUUGCCAUCAUUAAGUUGGGCACUCUAACGAGACUGCCGGUGAUAAACCGGAGGAAGGUGGGGAUGACGUCAAAUCAUCACGCCCCUUAUGACCUGGGCUACACGCGUGCUACAAUGGAUGGUACAACGAGUCGCGAGACAGUGAUGUUUAGCUAAUCUCUUAAAACCAUUCUCAGUUCGGAUUGUAGGCUGCAACUCGCCUACAUGAAGUCGGAAUCGCUAGUAAUCGCGGAUCAGCACGCCGCGGUGAAUACGUUCCCGGGCCU
rnacentral:rRNA from 1 species